GACGAACGCUGGCGGCGUGCUUAACACAUGCAAGUCGAACGGAUUGUCGAACGGGUGUUUAACACGUUGGUGACCUGCCCUGCACUUCGUGUUAACCCUUGGUAACUGGCUCUAAUACCCCUUCGUGUGGGAUGUGUCCGCGUCCUAUCAGCUUGUUGGUGGGGUAAUGGCCUACCAAGGCGGCGACGGGUAGCCGGCCGGAGAGGGUGGACGGCCACAUUGGGACUGAGACACGGCCCAGACUCCUACGGGAGGCAGCGGUGGGGAAUAUUGCACAAUGGGCGGAAGCCUGAGGCAGCGACGCCGCGUGGGGGAUGACGGCCUUCGGGUUGUAAACUCCUUUCACCAUCGACGCGGUAGAUGGAGAAGAAGCACCGGCUAACUACGUGCCAGCAGCCGCGGUAAUUG
rnacentral:rRNA from 1 species